rnacentral:misc_RNA from 1 species
ACGACCAGUGAACUGAGUCUUGAGAUGAAAACCCAAAACUGUAAAUAUCUUGAGAAUUCUCCUGAGAAAGUGUGUGUUCCGAAACUUCAUCAUUUAACCCUGAUUCAGAGUAGCUCCGAGACAUGCUUCUACUCCGCCGGCCGUAUGUUCUAACGAUCAUUUUCCGACGGAGAAUUCAAAAUUCCUGCAACUAGAUCAACUAAAGAACACGAAUAUUGAUGUAUUUUCGUUAUUAAAACCAAAAAUUUGAGGUAAUUUGGAACCUGAAAUUAGGGUUUAUAGAAAGUGUGUUGUGAGUUUGCUCUGAUUUGAAGAUUUGAAA